GACGAACGCUGGUGGCGUGCUCAACAAAAGCAAGUCGAACGGAGCUGCGACCGGGAGAGUAACACGUUGGUGACCUGCCCUGCAAUUCGGGAGAAGCCUGGGAAACUGGGUCUAAUACCGGAUAGUGGGGGAUGGGCCCGUGGCCUAUCAGCGUGUUGGUGGGGUAAGGGCCUACCAAGGCGGCGACGGGUAGCCUGCCUUAGAGGGUGGACGGCCACAUUGGGACUGAGACACGGACCAGACUCCGACGGGAGGCAGCAGUGUGGAAUAUUGCACAAUGGGCGUAAGCCUGAUGCAGCGACGCCGCGUGGGGGGUGACGGCCUGCGGGUUGUAAACUCCUUUCACCGUCGACGCGAUGGAUGGAGAAGAAGCAGCGUCUGACUACGUGCCAGCAGCCGCGGUAAUAC
rnacentral:rRNA from 1 species